UACGGGAGGGGCAAGCGUUGUUCGGAAUUACUGGGCGUAAAGGGCGCGUAGGCGGCCUACUAAGUCGGACGUGAAAUCCCUCGGCUCAACCGAGGAACUGCGUCCGAUACUGGCGAGGCUUGAAUUCGGGAGAGGGAUGCGGAAUUCCAGGUGUAGCGGUGAAAUGCGUAGAUAUCUGGAGGAACACCGGUGGCGAAGGCGGCGUCCUGGACCAACACUGACACUGAGGAGCGAAAGCCAGGGGAGCAAACGGG
rnacentral:rRNA from 1 species